GAUGAAAGAACGUAGCGAAAUGCGAUAAGUAAUGUGAAUUGCAGAAUUCCGUGAAUCAUCGAAUCUUUGAACGCAUAUUGCGCCCUCUGGUAUUCCAGAGAGCAUGCCUGUCCGAGCGUCAUUACCAUCUUCAAGCACAGCUUGGUUGUUGAGCUUUUGUCCUCUAAUGGACAGGCUCGAAAUGCAGCGGCGAUGCCAAUUGGUGCCCGAGUGUAUGGGGCUUUGUCACACACUUUGGUGGCCCAGCUGGUGUCAGCCUGGAUUGACCUUAAACUAAGAUUGACCUCGGAUCAGGUAGGAAUACCCGCUGAACUUAAGCAUAUCAAUAAGCGGAGGA
rnacentral:misc_RNA from 1 species